GAGCUCAUAGUUUAGUUGGUUAAAACGUACCGCUCAUAACGGUAUUAUCGUAGGUUCAAGCCCUACUGAGCUCA
rnacentral:tRNA from 1 species